rnacentral:misc_RNA from 1 species
AUCAGGUCCAGGAAGAUAUUUGGCUGAACUGGUAAGAUAGAUACAGGUCCUUUUGAAAUUUGUACUGUCAACAUGCUCAACUAACAGAUCAAGAUCUUCGACCUCCAUUAAUAGAUCAACAGCUUCAGGUUCGGCAUUGUGUUUCAUGUGAAAAGCAACAAUUUCUUGAACAAGUUCCAUCAAAUCAUCAAUGGGAGCCUCUUCACCCUGACGCUUGGUGUAUUCUUGAGCAAUCUCUCCAGCCAAGUUCCUUACAUACUCAUGACCCCAUGAACCAAUAUCGCCUUCUGAUCCUAAUAAUCUGUAUUUCAGGCUUUCCCGUUCUCCCUCUGCAGACAUUGUUAGUGCCAAUACUGAUAGUAUGUCUGCCAUGUAUUUCUUUAAAUCUGUGUCUGCCAUUGUUUCAUAAUAAGCUUUCAAAGUUCCAUAAUGCGGUCGAAGGAAUUUUAGAGGCUUUGGAACAGAAGUCAUGGAGCUUGUGGAGGUUCGAAUUUCCUGCCUCA